rnacentral:rRNA from 1 species
GACGAACGCUGGCGGCGUGCUUAACACAUGCAAGUCGAACGGAAAGGCCCUGCUUUUGUGGGGUGCUCGAGUGGCGAACGGGUGAGUAACACGUGAGUAACCUGCCCUUGACUUUGGGAUAACUCCAGGAAACUGGGGCUAAUACCGGAUAGGAGCUCCUGCUGCAUGGUGGGGGUUGGUAAGUUUCGGCGGUUGGGGAUGGACUCGCGGCUUAUCAGCUUGUUGGUGAGGUAGUGGCUUACCAAGGCUUUGACGGGUAGCCGGCCUGAGAGGGUGACCGGCCACAUUGGGACUGAGAUACGGCCCAGACUCCUACGGGAGGCAGCAGUGGGGAAUAUUGCACAAUGGGCGGAAGCCUGAUGCAGCAACGCCGCGUGCGGGAUGACGGCCUUCGGGUUGUAAACCGCUUUCGCCUGUGACGAAGCGUGAGUGACGGUAAUGGGUAAAGAAGCACCGGCUAACUACGUG